rnacentral:lncRNA from 1 species
UUGGUGUAGUAGCAUGUGAACUACUCUAAAGCCUUGAGAUCAGAUCUCAAGGGUAUUUCUCCUUUCUCUUUGAAGAAAGAGUUUAUCCCUCUCUCCUACAAUAUUUGGCGUGUACGCAAAGUAGAGGAUCUGUGCAUUCGGAUCUUAUGAAGCAUAUUCAUCAAGUAGCUUCUUCAAUCUUGAUUAUUCUUUAUUACGAAUCAAGAUA